rnacentral:rRNA from 1 species
CACGUAGGCACCAAGCGUUAUCCGGAUUUAUUGGGCGUAAAGAGCUCGUAGGCGGUUCGGUAAGUCGGGUGUGAAAACUCUGGGCUCAACCCAGAGAGGCCACCCGAUACUGCUGUGACUAGAGUGCGGUAGGGGAGCGGGGAAUUCCUGGUGUAGCGGUGAAAUGCGCAGAUAUCAGGAGGAACACCAAUGGCGAAGGCAGCUCGCUGGGACGUGACUGACGCUGAGACGCGAAAGCGUGGGGAGCAAACAGG